CGGGUUACGAAUUCGCCCCUUAGAGUUUGAUCAUGGGCUCAGGAUGAACGCUGGCGGCGUGUUUAACACAUGCAAGUCGAGCGAGAAGCUUCUCAGUUGAUUCUUCGGAUGAAACAGAGGGGUGGAAAGCGGCGGACGGGUGAGUAACGCGUAGGCAACCUGCCCCUUGCAGAGGGAUAGCCUCGGGAAACCGGGAUUAAAACCUCAUAAUGCGUAUCCUAGACAUCUUGGAUACGCCAAAGAUUUAUCGGCAAGGGAUGGGCCUGCGUCUGAUUAGCUAGUUGGUGGGGUAACGGCCUACCAAGGCAACGAUCAGUAGCCGACCUGAGAGGGUGAUCGGCCACAUUGGAACUGAGACACGGUCCAAACUCCUACGGGAGGCAGCAGUGGAGAAUCUUGCACAAUGGGGGAAACCCUGAUGCAGCAACGCCGCGUGAAGGAAGACGGCCCUUGGGUUGUAAACUUCUGUUCUAAGGGAAGAUAGUGACGGUACCUUAGGAGCAAGUCCCGGCUAACUACGUGCCAGCAGCCGCGGUAAUACGUAGGGGGCGAGCGUUAUCCGGAAUUAUUGGGCGUAAAGAGUACGUAGGUGGUUUCCUAAGCAUGGGGUUUAAGGCAACGGCUUAACCAUUGUUCGCCCCAUGAACUGGGUUACUUGAGUGCUGGAGGGGAAAGCGGAAUUCCUAGUGUAGCGGUGAAAUGCGUAGAUAUUAGGAGGAACACCGGUGGCGAAGGCGGCUUUCUGGACAGUAACUGACACUGAGGUACGAAAGUGUGGGGAGCAAACAGGAUUAGAUACCCUGGUAGUCCACACCGUAAAACGAUGAGCACUAGGUGUCGGCCUANCAAU
rnacentral:rRNA from 1 species